rnacentral:rRNA from 1 species
GUGUCAGCAGCCGCGGUAAAACGUAGGGGGCGAGCGUUGCCCGGAUUCACUGGGCGUAAAGCGGGUGUAGGCGGUUCCUUAAGUCGGAUGUGAAAUCCUACGGCUCAACCGUGGAACUGCAUCCGAUACUGGGGAACUUGAGGACGGUAGAGGUCGGUGGAAUAUCCGGUGUACCGGUGAAAUGGGCAGAUAUCGGAUAGAACACCAGUGGCGAAGGCGGCCGACUGGGCCGUUCCUGACGCUGAGACCCGAAAGCUAGGGUAGCGAACCGGAUUAGAUACCCUCGUAGUCC